AGCGAACGCUGGCGGCAGGCCUAUCACAUGCAAGUCGAACGAACCUUUCGGGGUUAGUGGCGGACGGGUGAGUAACACGUGGGAACGUGCCUUUAGGUUCGGAAUAACUCAGGGAAACUUGUGCUAAUACCGAAUGUGCCCUUCGGGGGAAAGAUUAAUCGCCUUUAGAGCGGCCCGCGUCUGAUUAGCUAGUUGGUUGAGGUAAUGGCUCACCAAGGCGACGAUCAGUAGCUGGUCUGAGAGGAUGAUCAGCCACAUUGGGACUGAGACACGGCCCAAACUCCUACGGGAGGCAGCAGUGGGGAAUCUUGCGCAAUGGGCAAAAGCCUGACGCAGCCAUGCCGCGUGAAUGAUGAAGGUCUUAGGAUUGUAAAAUUCUUUCACCGGGGACGAUAAUGACGGUACCCGGAGAAGAAGCCCCGGCUAACUUCGUG
rnacentral:rRNA from 1 species